rnacentral:rRNA from 1 species
GUGGAGCAUGUGGCUUAAUUUGACCCAACGCGGGAAAUCUUACCGGGUCCGGACACACUGAGGAUUGACAGGUGUUUCGUAUUAUAUAUAUAAAUAUUUAUUUAUUUAUAUAUUAUAUAUACAUAUUAAAUAUGCUAGUCCUUUCAUGAUUGUGUGAUAGGUGGUGCAUGGCCGUUCUUAGUUCGUGGAGUGAUCUGUCUGCUUAAUUGCGUUUCACUUAUAGCAAUUUGUAUUAUAUUAAUUACUGCAUGUGACCCCACUUUAUUGUGGUUGUGUCCGGCGUAAUUUACUUAUACUUUUGCUUCGAAGGCAACGAACGUGACCG